rnacentral:lncRNA from 1 species
ACAGUAUCGACCAAUUCUGUUCGUAAUUAAAGCUUCUAGCUCUAGAUGGCACAUGGAAUUCCGUUUUAUGAAUUUCAUAGUGUAGCAAAUUAGUUGUUGGUUGUUGGUAUCAUUUUUCUACUAUUUUUAGCCGUGAUAUCUAAUUAAGCAAUAGAAAGAGGUUAAACUAAUAUUAGUUCUGCCCGGAGAAUGAGCUUUUCAAAAUGAUCUUUGAUAAUGAACCCAGUAAAUUGCUAACUGCCGAACUAGUAUAAUAUCCGCUGUUUCUUUGUGCGCAUUUCACUCACAGAUACUUUCAAUCUGACGGUACUAAUGUUAGUUGUUUUUCCACAAAAUAGCAAUUUAUCUUAAAAAUCCGAAUGAACCUGACAUGCGCCGUCGAGUUAUCGCAAACUGAACAAUCGGAAUACUUUGGUUCCUAUGGGAGAGCGGUACCUACUCCGUACUCGUUCGAGAUUCAAUUUAAUUUUAUCGUUUGUUUACUGUCCAAGCUUCAAGGAAACAUUCUACAUUAUUAAUACUUAGAAGCCGUACAUGUGCCUACUGAAUGGAAUCAAGCGCGGAAAGACAAUAAGAGUUUUAGUGCAAGUACCUACGUUGCAAAACUUUGCAGUGUUUUGUUGUGAUGCUUCAAAGUUCAAAGUCUAAGGCUCUGUUAAAAGUUGUAAAUAUUUGCGUUCAAAGUCGCACUGUGAAGAGUAUCGUGCACAAUCUGGAUUUCCUACACGGAUGACCAUGUCUGGACGACUUCCCGAGCCGGAUGCAGUAAGCAAACUGUCGCUACCCCUCGGCAGCGCUUCGCCCCCCGUCCUGUGGGGUGCUCGCCGCAAAUCAGGUAAUUUGAGAGUUUCGUUAAAAACUACGCAUUAAGUUUCGUCGCAUGUUACAACAGUUACGAAAUAACCUGAUAUGAAUAAACAUGGAAAUUGGCAAUUUUCCGAGCGAAGGAAAAGCUUUGGCGGUUUGUUCGUUCGCCCAGAAGUUGAUGCUACAUGCUAUAAUCGAAUUGGAAAUAAAUGCUUGCACAAUUCACUUGAUAAAAUAGUAACAACAGAGUUUCGCUUUAAUUCUAAGUAAUGACAUUUUUAUCUUACAGCAAAUAACAACAGAUUAGAAUUGCUUUUGAUAUAUUCUGAUGGAUGAGAAAGUUUCUAAUCAGAUGUUUUCCUGUUGCACUUGCUGUUUAUUGAACUAGAAAAUAUUCUGUCAUGUUUAUUGUUUAAUGUUGAAUGACGCAAAUUGAUAUGUGAUGAGUUAACCAAAUGUCUUGAAAAAUGCUCAUAGUUUUCAGGCAAUGAUUAUAGGCAGUUUUAUAUUUCUAAUCCCUUCAGAAUGUCUGUUAAUUUGCAUGUUUACAGUUCUUUCCAUUUAUUCAAAAAUAUUUUUGUCAUUUUCGGUCUUCUGAAUCUUUCACUCGUUUACCCAUUCCAUUUAUAUUACGUACGUUUCGCGCUAGCCUUCCAGUCUGAGUUUUAAAUUCAGAAAACUGUUGAUCAAAGUAUAAAUUGAUAUGAUCUAUUAUCUUUAUCAUUAUUUAAGUAAUUUUUCAAAUACAUUAUUCAGCCAAUCUGUACCUACUAAGACAACUAAGAGUAUUCAGAUGUAUUUACCAUUGCUUUCCAGUUUACAUCCAGCCUACAAAUGAUCUUUUUAUAUAACUAUACAUUUAUCAUUAUACAUGUUGAAGUUUAUAACUUCUUCGCGAAAGCUAUAAAAUUGUUUGUAGUCAUUUCCAAUAAAUAUUAAUAUAUUUCUGUGUUGAAUAAUACUUAAUAUAUCAGCUGAAGGCGUCCCUUGGACUAAUUGGAUCUUAUAUAAGUUCCGCAUGGCUCAUUAAUUACCAAACGAACUCUAAUCCAGAGAUUAAAUUUGUUCAUGACUGUAGUUAAUCGAAUGCUUUUGUUAUGUCCGCUUUGUAUAAUAAACUCCAAUCAUUUUCGUGAAUUGUUGCCAUACUGUGUCUAUCUUAUACAUAUGCUUUCGCCGAUUUCCUCACAUUUUCAUUUCGUUAAACCUUUAAACCGUAAUUGCUAUUGAUUGCUUCUUAUAAGAUUAUAAGAGCCUGAUUUUCAA